rnacentral:lncRNA from 1 species
GAUGAAACUUCUGUUCAUAUGCAUUUUCAGAGUCAGUUUCAUGUGACGAUGACAUGUCAUCUUCAUCGUUCGAAGGUUUGCUCUUUUCUUCCUUGGCAUCGGUAUGAUCCUUCUCAUCCAUGAUGACAUUUAGAGCAUCUGCGUGGUGUUCAUUCGUCAAGCUAGGAUCACGUCGUUCGUUACUGGAGAAUUCGUGGAAGAUAUCGCGUAACCUAGCAUACAUUGGAUCCUUCAAGGCCUUGACAUAGUCCUCGUCGCGCUUAGAUGUAGAGACCACUGCCUGUGAUGGUUUAGGGCUUACAGUUUUCCACAACGAAGAAAGCAUAAAACAACAGGAUAUGGUAACUUGGUAAGUAAGCAACGUUUUGAUAUAGUUUGUAGCCACCACCAAUGACCUGCCUUGCCACAAAGUUUAUAAGUG